rnacentral:rRNA from 1 species
GUGGGGAAUAUUGGACAAUGGGGGAAACCCUGAUCCAGCAAUGCCGCGUGAGUGAAGAAGGCCCUAGGGUUGUAAAACUCUUUCGCCCGCGAAGAUGAUGACGGUAACGGGAGAAGAAGCCCCGGCUAACUCCGUGCCAGCAGCCGCGGUAAUACGGAGGGGGCUAGCGUUGUUCGGAUUUACUGGGCGUAAAGCGCACGCAGGCGGUUCUUCCAGUUAGGCGUGAAAGGCCUGGGCUCAACCCGGGAACUGCGCUUAAUACUGUUGAACUAGAGUCCGGGAGAGGAUGGCGGAAUUCCCAGUGUAGAGGUGAAAUUCGUAGAUAUUGGGAAGAACACCAGUGGCGAAGGCGGCCAUCUGGUCCGGUACUGACGCUGAGGUGCGAAAGCGUGGGGAGCAAACAGG